rnacentral:miRNA from 1 species
CCUUCAUUUCACGUACUCUCUCG